ACCAAACUUUUUCUUAAUAGCUCCACCUUCAGCGAUCAGUUCGUACACAUAAUAACAAAGAACAGCAGCCAAGCUCAAGAAUAUUACCUCGCGAUUCACUACUAAGGAGAGACAGAGGGCGACACGGUGACUGAGGAGGCUACGACAGAGAGCGAUAGUGGCUCGGAGACACAGAGUGAUGGAGGAGCCCGCUCGAGCUCAACGGAGGAGGAGGGAAGGACAUCGGUCGGCGACAGUAGAAGUUCACUGGGUUAGAGACAGAGCAACGCGAGUCAGGCGAGGACUCAGGAAUGAAAGGGAUCGGUCGACGUCUCGUGAAGUAGGGCAUCUGUUCGUGGGGAAAAAGAAUGCCCAAUAUGCUGUGUUCUACCGGCACCUGCCCGUGUCAGCCUAUUUCGCAAAAAUAAAAAAAAUAAAAAAAAUGGACACGCCGCAUCCACGCGUGUUCAUGUCGGAUAACCUGGCGCCCAUUUUGCCAUGUUCACGCUUCAGAGGUACUCCUUUGGUGCUUACGCCGAGAGAGCUCCUCAUACUUAUAAAGGCCACUUCACUUGUGAGGAUUUUGGAGAAUUCCAGACUAUACUAUUGUCAAAGGUUUUGCACAAUUUUCACAUGUGCAAGAAUGGUGGGUCUAUCCCUGAAAGAAAAGCAAUUCAUACAAGGUGGUAUUGCUCAGGACCUCCACUUUGAUGGUUGAAAGAGACUGACAUUUCGACCCAUCUAUAUUGAAACUGCUGUCAUUCCUCAGGCAGUACACAAAUGAAUUGAAAGAGUAAUCUGAUCUUUUCACCCAGGGUUUUUCAUGGCUGCCUGACCAUGUGGAUUUUGCGUGCUCUAUGUAGUUAUUUUGUGACCAUGUGGUUUUUCAUGUUGAAAUGAGCACGUACGUGAAAAAGUGAGGGUGGCACCUAUUGAGGAAAAAAUGGUAGAAAAUCGGUUGAGAUGGUUUGGGCAUGUACAAAGAAGACCAAGGGAGGCACCAGUGAGAAGAGUAGAACAUAUAACUUUGAGUCCGAUUAAGAGAGGUAGAGGAAGGCCUAAGAGAACACUCUUGGAAGUUGUUGAACGUGAUCUCUUAAUUAAUAAUAUUCCUAAAAACUUGAUAAAUGAUAGAGUACAAUGGCGUCUUGCAAUCCAUGUAGCCGACCCCACCUAGUGGGAUAAAGGCUUGUUGUUGUUGUUGUUGUAUGUAGUUUUAAUUUCUACGUUUGAUGGGCUUCAUGACAGGCAAAUGGUUCAGCAAGAGUCAGAAUGGGUGCCACAGAUGUCAUUGCCAGUGUGAAGGUUUUUUAUGGUUUUAGGACUCAGCUUCCUUUUGUAUCAUUGUAUAAGCCACUUAAGCUUCUUGUUAGCCGUGUGACUAAACCAUGAUAUAUAUUGGCUUUAUGUGCAGGCUGAAUUAGGAAAGCCAAACUCACUGCAACCUAACAAAGGUAGAGUCUCUAUACUUAUUGAUUGCAGUCCCAACUGCAGAGCCAGCUUUUGAGGUUUCCUAUUUAACUCUGCCAGUUUCUCAACCUCUUUGUUUAGAGAAGCCUUAUGGGGUAGAGGAGGUGAGGAAUUGUCAACAGAACUGUCAGUUGCUCUUCAGCGUUGUCUCUUGGGUGAUAAAAGUGGGGCAGGCCUGUAUUCAUUUUACCAUAUGUUUUCCCUCCUGCGUUAUUUCUUUGUAUUGAAAUUUAAAUUCUAGUCUUAACUGCCAGGCUAUUUUCCUAGGUGCUGGAAUUGACUUCUCCUUGUUUCUUGCUGUGUUGGGAAAAAUUUGUUGGGAACUUUAUAUUGAUGGGCUGGUGGUCAGCUCAGAUGGAAAUUUGUUAGAUGCCCUUGGAGCCUCCAUUAAGAAUACACUGCUAUUGCUAAAGGCAUUUACGGAGGACUUGAUGACUUCCUGUUUUUCUUCAAGGCUGCUUUGAGCAACAGGGGCAUCCCAAGAAUCCAUGUUGUUGCAGGUGCAUCUAGUGAUGAGCAAACAGAAGCUAACACAAGCGAUGAUGAGUUUCUGCUGUCUGACACUUCUGCGGUCCUGUUGUAGUUACCCUGACUAAGGUCCUAUUCUCCUCGUCUAUGAUGAAAUACGACCUCAAAAAAAGGGUUGUUUUUUGUUUCACAUAUCUUUUAACCCUCUCACUCGACACAGCAUGAAACCUUAAAUUACAUGAUAAACAUGUUUGGUUCCA